UCUCUGACCCUCCUCCUGCUUGCACUCUGUGUCUCUCUCAAAAAAUAAAUAAACAUUAAAAAAAAUUAAAAAAAGAAUGUUGCUAUGGCCAGUGUCAGAGAAAUUACUGCUUGUGUUCUCUUCUAGGAUUUUUAUGGUUUCAGGUGUUACAUUUAGGUUCUUAAUCUAUUCUGAGUUUAUUUUCAUUUAUUGUGUAAGAAAGUGAUGCAGUUUCAGUCUUCUGCAUGUAGCUGUCCAGUUUCCCCAAUGCCAUUUGUUGAAGAGAUUUUUUUUCCCAUUGUGUAUUCUUGCCUCCUUUGUUGAAGAUUAAUUGACCAUAUAAUUGUGGGUUUGUUUCUGGGCUUUCUAUCUUGUUCCAUUGAUCUAUUUUUUUGUUUUUAAUCUUGAUUUUUUGAAAAAAAUUGUAUCCAAGUUAUAUUUGUGGUUGUUCAUGCUUGUGAAUAAAAACUGGUUUGAGGUAAGUAAUAAUGCCUAGACUAGUCAUUUUUUGGAGAGGAAGCUGGUUUUGAGUAUCUAUUUACUCUGUGUGUCAGGCCUGCAGUUGUGUUUGGACACACCAUGGUUGUAAUUCAUACUCUUGGUUUAACAACACUUUCAUAUAUAAUUAUCAUUACUUUGUAAUUACAGCAAUAAAAUCCAUUCUUUGGGAACUAUUCCAGUAUUUAGAAUACUGAAAAUAAGUGUGCUUAGUACCAGUUGUCACAAUGAUUUUUCCAAUGCUUGAAUUUCUAAGAAAUCAGCUUCUAUUGUACUUCAAAACAAAACUGAUGUCUAAUAAAAUUCUCUUUUUAGAGAUGGCAGCUCUUUGUAGAACCUGAAAAGGAAAACUUUAAAUCAAAAGGAAUAGUCACAGAAAGGAUUUAAUGUUCUUCUAUUUAGAAUUAUGGAGAAGGAAGAAGAAAUCAUAAAACUUUCUGAGAAAAAAAACAGCCUGGAGCCUUAAGAAUAUGCUUUGCUUUAUUUAGAGAUUAAAUCAGAGAAUAAACCUAGGGGUGGGGUGGAGCUCUCUCUAGUAGAGAGAGAGAGAGAGACAGACAGACAGACUUUGUCAGCCCAUUUGUUCCUUGGACUCCUCUUGGUUUACAGUAUUUCUUGGAAAGCUAUGUGGAAUUGUCUCUAAGCUUGUCUCUAUUGAAAUAUUGGUCUGUUGGUCUUUGCUAUACUUUGGUCCUGGCGUAAUGGCCCAGACUAAAGCCAUUGGACCAAAGGAGGAGAGGGCCAUGAAAAGAGAAUGUAAGCAGUGCAGGCAAUUAGUGCAUGGGUAGACUUUUCCAGGCCAUUGCAUAAACUCAAACUUGGUUAUAGUGCUGCUUUUUAUUAACUAUGUCUAGGAAUUCAAUGAUGUAUGCUUUUCCUAGUGAGUAAUUGGAUAUUAUCACAGGGAAGAUUUCCAAUUCCACACCAAGAUGACAUGGAACACUCUCUGUAGUUGGUCCGUCAUGAUACUAGGAAAAUUUCUGAUUGCUGCCAAUUGUAAUGUUAGCAUAAGAAUAUCUAUGAGGCUGUAGCUAUCAAAACAUGAAUCUUUUUAUCUAGAGAUUGAGGAAGCUAUUUCGUGUGGUAAGACAAAAAUAUAUUCUAGAGAAUAGUAUAAUUUCAUCGAUUUGUCCAUCUGUUUCCAGGGAUUCAGCUCUUCCGUCCCUGCAGUGAAUGCUGUCUCCUUGUCCUGGACUUUGUCCCUUAUCACAACACUUACUGGACGCUAUCGCUUGAAUAUUUCACUGCCACCUCCAACAUAGCUCCGGUGUCUAAAAUAGAAAUCGUUAUCUUCCUGCAAAUUUGACUCCCUAUGUAACUUAAGAGUUGUAAGGAUGCUGUUGAUCACCUACUUGUUCAGAUUAGGAACUGCAAAUUCUUCUGGAUAUCUUCCCCAACAGAAGUUCACACAUACAGAUCUUUACAUGAAAUUCAGGGCUGACUACUUAGCUCCUCUUGGAGCCAAUCCAAGGAUAUGACAUUAAAAACAAAAACAACCCUGACAGGAUGAAGUCAGGGGCCCACUGUGCAGUACUCUGUGUGUGGGUUAGUAACACCAGGUUAGUUGUUGGUCCUCCAAGGGAGACUUGUCUUUUUCUCUGCUCCUCUGUUAUACAGAAUUGGAUAAUUCUCCUCGCUUGGUAACCUUUGUGUACCCUUUUUUUGUUUUUAUUUUUUGAGAGAGAAAGAGUGGGGGAAGGGCAAAGGGAGGGGUGUGGAGAGAAUCUUAAGCAGGCUCCAUGCCCAGCAUGGGGCUUGACUCGGGACUCAAUCUCACGACCCUGAGCUCAUGACCCUGAGCUCACCACCUGAGCCUAAAUCAAGAGUUGGUCACUUAAGCUACUGAGCCACCCAGGCACCCUUUGUUUACCCUUUAAAACUCAGCCAAGUCAUAACUCCCCUAAAGUUGAAAUUAUGUCUCCUGGAUAUCUGUUUUUCAAAUGUCAUGUUAUAGUGUUAUUUUUUCAUGAGGACACAUUUCUCUAUUUAGGGAUGGAAAGUUCUCCGAGGACAGACAGUUCUUUAUUUCAGGAUCCAGAGAACAAAGGCUAUGUAUCCAGCAAACACUUUUGGUUAAUCUUCUCCAUCUUUCUCCUUCUCUAUUCUCUCUCUCUUUCAUCUCUCUUUUUGGCAUCUCAACCCUUCAUGUGUGAUCUUCUCAAAUAUUUUUUACAUACCAAAGUAAACUCUUAUUACUUAUUGCUGUGUUAAAAUUUUUUUUAACGUUUACUUAUUUUUGAGACAGAGACAGAGCAUGAACAGGGGAGAGUUAGAAAGAGAGGGAGACACAGAAUCCAAAGCAGGCUCCAGGCUCUGAGCUGUCAGCACAGAGCCUGACGUGGGGCUCGAACUCACUGACCAUGAGAUCAUGACCUGAGCCGAAGUCGGACGCUUAGCAGACUGAGCCACCCAGGUGCCCCUUACUUAUUGCUAUGUUAACUGAAAGUACAAAAAUAAUUCCACUGUGAUUAUUAUUUUUUUUAAGUUUUUAAAUUUAUUUUGAAGGGAAAGAGAGAGAGAGAGAAUGAAUAUGAGUGGGGGAGGGGCAGAGAGAGACAGAGAAGAGAGAGAAUCCCAAGCAGGCUCUGCGCUGGCAGUGCAGAACCCGACUUGGGGCUGGAACUCAAGAAGUGUGAGAUCAUGACCUGAGCCGAAAUCAAGAGUUGGAUACUUAACCAACUGAGCCACCCAGGCACCCCAACACUGAUUAUUUUAACAAUAAAUCUGAAAUAUGUUAUCAAGUGUAAAAUUAGAAAUCUCUCCCUAUAGGUGAUUUGAAGAAUUCUAAAAAAUAUUUAAUUGAGCAUUUAUAUAUACUAAUUUAUUAAUAAAAUAAUAAGAGGGUUUCCCUUAGGAUUAUUUCCAAAGCAGGUUUUUUCCCUAUGAGAAUAUGUAAUUUAAAUUUAUUAGAAUACGUUGAAUCACAACUGAGGUUUAUUGUACAAUAAAUCAUAACUCAUGUGAAGAGUUGGAUAUGCAUGAAUUUGCGAGAUAUUCUUAUGAUAAUUUUACAAGACAAAAAUACUCCUCCCCAAAGAACUUGGAAGUAAACAUAAAAUGGCAGGUAUGAACCCCGUUUUUAAAGAUUAGGGGUCAGGAAAAUUGUGUUUCUGCCCUUUGCUCCUGCUUCCGUAAGAUAGAUACCCAGUGAAAGUGGUUGAUUUGACCACAUCUUAAAAUCUUGGAUGGUUUUUAGGCAAUUUUAGGCAUUAUUUAUCCAGAAGUGCUGGUGCCUUUUGAUUCUGAACAGGAUUCUGGAGAAUUCUUAUUUGAUGUUAAAGUUGUGAGAAUGUGAAUGGUUGAAAGUCAUGUGUAUUUGAAAACUACCCAUACUCAGUCCCUGAGGCUGAGAUGAAGGAAACUGUCACUUUACUGACUCUAUGGUAUUUGCUAAACAAAUAAGUAAGGUUGGGAAAACCUCAGGCUCUGUGAUAUAUAUAAAGAAAAUGCAGUUCUUUGAGCACAGUAAUUUAUUAGAAAAAAAAAUAAAGGGUGCCCAUUGAUCUGUGUGGAAUUUAGGCAGUGACUUACAUAUUUUCUUUACUGAUCCUUUUCAUAACUGAGAUUAUUCAAGAGAAAUCCUCCUAUCUAUUUAUUUUCCUCAAGCACCUCCCUAAUGAUGUGAAGGGGAAAAGACGUUUUUGGCUUUAUUGGUUUCUUAAGCAACAACCUGUGCUUCUGCUUAAUAUGAGCCAUCAUACAAGGAAUUUUCCUGUGUAUCCGGACUCCAGGCCUUUUAAACCUUUGCUUGUAGGUAUUACAGUUCAUCAGCUUAGAAGUUCGCAGUCAAAUUUGGGUUAACUCCCUCAGACUCAGCUUAAUAGUCCAUUUUUGUGGGAGUACUUUAGUACCUAAGUAUUUAUUAAAUGAUGAUUGUUAAUGAGAUACAAAAAAAAAAAGUGAUCAUGUGAUUUCUUUUGGUUCAAUAGAGCCACCUACAUUUCACUAAGCAUCAAAGGUGGGUAAUUUCAAAUUCCCAAAGCAUUCGAAGAGAAUACUUCAAUCAUGCUUGUUUGCUCUCUGAACUUGACAGCAUAACAUGAUUGAGGUUUCUUUUCUGGAUAGUCAAAGUCUUUUAUGUUUGUUUUCUCAAUGGUUUUAUUAUUAAGAGUAACUGCAACAGCAUCUCUCUUUUUCUUCAAGGAUGCUUUCUGGUUCUAGCCAAAGCUAGAAUGGAAUGUUGUCUGCAUCCCAGAAACCCUCAAGUGGCCCUGCUAAAAUUCUUUUCCCCUGAUCUAGAGGACACCAAUCUCCUGAAUUUGUGACUAUUAUUCCUUGAUUUUCUUUACUACCUAAAUAUAGAAUUCUAAACAGUUUAGUUUCUCAUGAUUUUUGAACUCUAAAUGAAAGUACUCAUAACAGUUUUUUGCCAGAAUGCUUUCAUUCAACAUUGUGAAAUUCAUCCAUGUUAUUGCAUAAAGCUGUAGUUUGUGAAGUUUCAUAGUUACAUGACAUUCCCUCAAUAAUAUAACAGAGUCUAGUUAGUUAUCCAUUCUCUUGAUUGUUUGCGUCGGUUUGAGUUGGGGGCUGUUCUGAGCAAGGUGCAGUGAACAUGCUUACACAGAUAUCCAAGCGUGUAAGUGGACUGUUUCCCUUAAUGUACAGAUGAGUGGAUCAUAGAGUUAGACUCAUUAUCCACUUCACCAGACAAUGAAAGUCGUUUUACAUAUUAGUUGUGCCAGUUCACAUUUUCAUCCUGGUUCCUGAGUCCUGGUUCCUCCUUAUUAUUGUCCUUAUAACCCUUAUUAUUACUAGUUACUGCUUUUGCUAUUUGGAUGCGUGUGUAGUGACAUCUCAUUGUAGUUGUAAUUUGUGUUUCCUGAUAACCAACAGUUCUUUUCACACGUGUAUUGGCAUUUAUUUGGCCUUUUCUGUGACGUUUUUGUUCUUGAGGAGACUUUUUAUCGGGUUUUCAUUUUUUAAGACCUUCAUUAUAUAGUCUGGAUAUCUGGUCUUCAGAUAUUGUUGUGUUACCAGUCUAUUCUCCUGUUUUGUGGUUUGUUUACAUUUUAUGAUUAGACGUUUAAUUAAAAUUUAUCUUUUCCCCUGUGUUUUAUGCCGUUUGUGUUAUAUUUGGAGACUGAAUUUUCAAUCUUGUUAUUUCUAAUUCGUUGAAAAACUUUGGGUUGGACUUGUGUGAGUUCUAUGAAAUAGGACUGGAAGAAAAAUUGCCAUAGUGUACUGUCUCUAACGCAGAGUGCUACAAUAUCAUAGUAAUGUCUAAUUGUAAAUUGAAGAUAUAAUUUAGAAAUAGACUUUAAAUGUUUUUAAGGGCUGAGUUUUUAGAACUUUAAGAGGAGCAGGGAUAGAAUAUUUAGUGGGUAAUUAAAUCACACAUAUAGGUGAUGAUAAAUUAUAGUUUUGUUUUGUUUUUUUGAGGGGAUAGUGUCAGAACAGUUAAAAGUUGUACAGUAUUAAAAGGUACAAAUAAUGUAACUGAUGGCAAGGCAGAAGAUCUGUGAAGGGAGAUGCUAAAUUUGGGUACUAAGAUAUAUCACAUAUGACAUGACCCAAAACCCCGGAGUCUAUCUUCACAUUACUUGUUAUUAUUUAUUAUUAUUAUGUGCACUUUAUUAUACUUUCAAAAGGAUUUAAAAUUUUUAUGUGUAUUUGGAUAAGGUGACUCCACAAUAGUAGAAAUCUUCCAGCUUCAAAGGAGAGUUUUUGUUUUGUUUUUGUUUUUUUGUUUUUUUUUUCUUUUUUUGAGGCUACGCUGGUAUUUAGAGAAUGCUGGUCCUCAAAUUUUGAAUGCAUUUUUUGAGUUACACUCACAACCAUAUAAGUUAUAGGUACUUGAUGCAUUAGUUUAUGGAUAAGAAUUCAGUCUCCUGUCUUCGUCACCACAAUAUUUAUUUUUAAAAGAAAAUUUCUUUAGGUACAAUUUGCAUAAAAUAAAAUGGACUUAUUUCAAGUGUACUUUUAGAGUUUUGACAAAUUUAUAUAUUCCUAUAUAUCCAUUAUUGUAAAUUCACCAGUGUGAAUGAAUGAAUGAAUGAAUGAAUUCACCAGUAAUGAAAU